rfam:Felis catus isolate Cinnamon breed Abyssinian chromosome D4, whole genome shotgun sequence.
ACCUGGGUGGCUCAGUUGGUAGAGCAACUGACUCUUGAUUUUGGCUCAGGUCAUGACCCCAGGGUUGUGGGAUCGAGUCCCACAUCAGGCU